CGCCCGGCCCCGGCUGCGUGAGGCGCUGCCCGGCCCCGGCUGCGUGAGGCGCUGCCCGCUCCGCUCGCCGCUCGCCCGCUGCCUCACGGCACCUCCCGCCCCGCGGAGGGGGGCGCGCGGGGCUCUCCCCGCCAUGGCCUUCACCUUCGCCGCCUUCUGCUACAUGCUGUCGCUGGUCCUGUGCGCCGCCCUCAUCUUCUUCGCCAUCUGGCAUAUAAUUGCCUUCGAUGAGCUUCGGACAGACUUCAAGAACCCCAUUGACCAGUGCAACCCAGCCCACGCAAGGGAGCGGCUGAGGAAUAUUGAGCGGAUUUGCUUCCUCCUGCGAAAGCUGGUGCUGCCAGAGUACUCCAUCCACAGUCUUUUCUGCAUAAUGUUUUUAUGUGCUCAGGAGUGGCUCACACUGGGGUUAAAUGUUCCUUUGCUUUUUUAUCACUUCUGGAGGUAUUUUCGUUGCCCAGCAGAUAGCUCAGAGCUGGCCUAUGAUCCACCUGCAGUGAUGAACGCAGAUACCUUGAGUUACUGCCAGAAAGAGGCCUGGUGUAAGCUGGCCUUCUACCUCCUUUCCUUCUUCUACUAUCUCUACUGCAUGAUCUACACUCUGGUGAGCUCUUAACUGAAAGAUCAUCACUAAGGACUGAAAACAACAAAGGCUGGAGGUGCAAGGACGAGUGAACCAAGGGAUGCAUGAUUAAAAAAAGCAAAGAGGAAAACUUUGAACCCAAGCAGUAAAUACAGUACAUGAAAGAGACAUCCAGCAAAGAGAAGCAGAAUACCAUGGGAAAAUGGCUGAGUUAAUUCUGUUUGUCUCCUGUUUCUCAAUGUAUUGCAGCAAAUGAUUUUCAAAACCCAAGCAAACAGGAAAAAUUGCUACAACGUGGGCCAAAUUAUACAACUAUUCACCUUUCCAGGGAUAACACUGCUUGGUUUAGUGGAUUCAUUAAAACUCUAAUGCCUGAAGUCCCUGCUGUCUUCCAGGAAGCAACAUUUCUUUUCUUAAGGACUAUUCUGGACUGAGGAAGCACAGGACAAGAUGAUCUUACACAGAAAGAAGAGCUGUACAACAUUCUGAAAACAAGCAGUGAGUGGACUUUGGAUGAGAUGUGUGACUGUCCUGCAGGGCUAUUCUGGUGACACUAGUCAAACAGGGAUGUCGAAUCUCAUGGAACUGCUUCCGUGGUUUUGGUUCAUUGGGUUGGUUUUUUUUUUGCAACCAAAACAACAAUAACAAAAGAAUUUGCAGUUUCAGUGUUCUGUAUUCUAACUAUAUGCUAUUCCUGCAGGUGAACAUCCAGUAUAUUUCUGUACUUCAUUUGUGAUGCGCCACCACCAUACAGUGAGAUGUAGAAAUACAUUGGGUUUAACCUAAUCAGGCCAAGCACUUAUCAGAAUAGUGUUCCUCUGACUGAAAAAAAACCAAACCAGGUCCAUCUGUUUGACAGGUCAAAGGCAUCAAGUGUCCAGAACUGCUGCUAAAUAUAUUUCAUUGCUGAUCCAGGUGAAGCCAGACUCAUUCCCUCAAAGUCACUGGUGCUGUGGGUAGUAGCAAGGCUGUAAACUCCAGACUAACACCAGAGCCUUCGCAGACACUGCUUAGCUCUUGCAUUGGGAAUGAGCUGGAAAGGUGGGUUUCUGCCAGAGAUUGGCAGAGAACAGUGUGGAGAGGCCCAUCUGUCCCCUGGCUUGUUCACAGCUGGUCCUGUUGGCACGAGCUCACUGAUCACCACCUUUGGUCUGGCUAUUGAGAGCCAGUAGACUGAUCCUGUACCAAGCUCUGAGGUGCUUUUGGGCUGGGCACAGCAGUUCAGCUGGAGAGAUGCAGUCUCACAAUGGCUGCUGAGUCAUCCCAUGUUCCCUGUGGAGCUGGAGUUACUGUGUGCCUGCAGUGCCAGGACUCACUCUGGUUUGGUCUGUGCAAAGUAACAAAAUUAAAUCCUGUUAACCAGCAAAGCACAGUGGCUGCAUGCUAACUCUGCUCCUGGACCACACCAGCUCCCAAAUCCUGCCUGGGCAUUGCUUGGAAUGGGGCUAGCUGGCCUUUGCAAGCAUUAUUCUGGGAUCAUUCUAACAAUAUUUAUAUGAAGUUGUCCCAAGGGCUGACAUUCUUUAAUUUACAGUAGUUUUAUUCUUUAAUUUUCGGUAGUUUUUAUUGGAUGCAUUUUAUCUUCAUACCAUGUAGUAUUGUAGUAUACCCAGUUUUAGAACAUAAGGCUGCCAAAUCCUUAUGGAUGUUGGGAAGCUGAUUUGGACUCUGAUGGUUCAUAGAUCUGGCUUGCACCCACCACAGAGGUGGCUGAACUGCUUUUGAAAUCAUACUGACCCUGCUGGCAAUACAGAUAUGUUCUCUUGGAGUGAGCCUGAGCUAAGGAGCUUCACUGCAUCAUUACAGAGCUAACUGAUGAAGCUCUGCUGCAGUGGAAUAAUUAAUGCACAACCCAUGAAAAGCUGAUGAUUGUAACUGAAUUUCUUCUCUGCAUCCUAACAGCAGUAUAAGAACUAAAUUCACAGGAACAAGUCACAGUGAAUAACUUCUAGAUGUCUAGCUACCUCAUAAAACUUCCAUCUCUGAGCUCUGAGGAGGUGAUUGAAUCUUUCCAUGCAUCUCCUAGGAUUUCAUAGGAGAUGAAAAGAAAUUACUUCAGGUUCCCUAUAUUCCAAAUACAUGCUUUCAAGUCAAUUUCAUUGAAAGGCUUGGAAUUUUGUGAGGUUGGAUGGGUGAAAGUAUGAUGGCUUCUUGCCUGAAAACUCACAAUUUUCAAAUCCUGAGGUUCAGGGAUGAGCUGGACUGGUAAGAGGUCAAUUAUUUGCCUUCGGGGCUGAGUAGAAGCUCUGUGAGUUUUUGUGACUGGCAUUGACCUGUAAUUCUUGACUUUGCACAAAAAGCAGUUGUUUAUGUGGGUCUUCCAAAUGUAACCUCAGGGUACUUGAAGGACUGGAGUGGAUAUGCUUGGUUAUUUGAAAGAGGUUCUCUAUUUCAAACAACUUCAUCAAUACACUUACCAAACUCCACUGGAAAACAGAACACUACUGCUUUGAGUGAGUGUUUCCAGGAUUUCACUGCUCUGGUACUUGAAUUUUUAAUUUUUUUUUAAUUUUUGCAUUUCCAGAAUAAAUUUAUUCUUAGAUAAUUUAUUCCACUUGGUUUUGAGCCAACAUUAGCCUAAGUACACUUUCUCUCAUGCUGCUUAAGAUUUCAAUAUAUAGACAAAGAAGUCCUUUUCACCCUCCAUUCUGUUAAAAGUGAGCUGUCUCAUGUCCUCCCAUAGAAAACUCUAUUCUUCAUGUCUUCUUUAAAGGGUUUCUCUGUUGUCUUUCCAGUCAAAUUAAUCUUUCUUAAGAGUGGAUAAUCACAGCUGUUCAGAGUAUUCUGGAGAGUAUCUUACUCUAAUUAGUCCUUGCUGUGAGUGGACAAUGAAAGCUAACAGUCUCAGUUCUUUCCAAUAAUACUUAUUCAAAAAAGUAAUCACACAGCUCUCAAUAGCAUUUUGUUUCUCUUUGAUACAAAUCUUAAAGCUGAUGGAAAAGCUGAUUAAUAUUACGUUCCCUUUCAUUGAAUUUAGUAUGCAGAGCCAGGAGUUGGACUUGAUGAUGCUUGUGAGUCAUUUCUAGCUCAGGAGAUUCUGUGAUUCUGCUUUAACCAAAGCAAGGGAAGAAUAGAAAAGAAUCUUUGGUCACAAGGACGUGUCUUCCCUAUGUCACACUUUUGAGGGAGAAAUAAUCUAUGCUAUCCUUUUUGUCUCCAGUUCCUCCUUGUUGGUUAGUGAAGGCUGAAGAUUUCCUCUGCAAGCCUUCUUUCUUCCUGUCUCUUUUCCCAGAAGGCUGAAUGUCAUUGUUUAGGAGCGGAGUUUUCUUCUCUCAUAGAGAGAAGAAUAUUCUGGGAUUUAUCUGAUGGUACAGAUAAAUCCCAGAAGACACAAGAAAACACAUCAUCACCCUUUGCCCCUUCAGGAGAAGGUGUGAAAUGAGCACGUUCUUAAAUGAGUAUUCAUUUUCCUCAGCUGCACUAUCUGUGAAGUGAAAGAGGUGAUACUUGCCUUGUGAGCUCUUCCCAUACAUGUUGUACUCUUUUUUUUUCUUUUUCCAGUAACUGUUGAAUCUGCUUAAAAGAAAAAGGUAAGAGGUGGAAAAAAUGGGAGAGGAUGAAACCUGGAUGAGCUGCUUACCCAAAGAGGCAUCUACACAGUGUGCUGGCCUUUAGCUGCCUGUUCCUGGAAGGGAUGAAAGGCAAGGUCUCCUAUUUAUAGUCAGGUAAUUGCAGUGAUGCUGAAUAAAAUUGUUGCUGCUCUGACUGUUUCAGUUUCAAGAACAGCAAAUCAGUGCUGAUCGCAGAAUGCUUCGCCUACAAAUAAUUAACUGUACUUAAGCUGUCAGAAAUGUUUUUCCAUCUGCUUCCUUGAGCCAUAUUCUUCCUUUUGCACUAAGCCCCUCAAAGAGAAAGAAAAAGUUCUUCAGCCUACACCUUACAGAAACUGCUCUGAGGUUGUUAUGAUCUGGCAAUGCUGUUGGGGUCAUGAGUAAUUCUAUAUUGCUAGCGAGGGUAUUAGCAAUCCAUUGCUUUUCAUUUCUCCAUUCCAACUCCACACAGGUAUUUUUGCCAAAAAAAAAUUGAAAAAUCACAGCACAUGAUCCAAAAUCCUUGAAUUUACUGGAGGUAAUUUGUUGUUUCCUCUAUGUGGGGAAUAGGUUCACACUGGAAAGUCUCUAGACUUUUGUUGGCAGGAUCCUUUAGAUCUUGGUACCACAUCCAUUAAACUGAAUUAUGCUAAUGGAAAAGGAACCUGCAUUUUUGAGGGAUAAGGGUAAAAUGUUAAUGCUCUUGCUAAGCUACCACAGAAAGUUAUACCAACUUGGUGAAAAUCUCGCUACAUGGAAGUUGGUGGAAAUCACACCUUCAGUUUCAUGUGAGCCCCACUUAACAUUGCACAAUUUCUACCAAAAGGCUGGUGGAAGUUAUAAACAGAAAAAACCCCAAACAAAUACAAUAAAUUUAGUUAAUCAAGAAUGUUAUUGGGUGUUAGAUAAAGCUUGAGUUGCUACAAAUAGAACAGGAGAUGACAAAGUGAAAAAAACCUGAGAGUUGAGGUUUUUAUUCUUUGGGAAGCAACAAAUACUAGGCUGCCAUCCAUGCUCUGCUGAACUUUACAUUGGUGAUCUCAGUCCAGAUUCCUGCUCUGGUGAGUUUUUCCAUCAUCCAUUGCUCAUGAACACAUUGUUCUGAUUUAUUUUUGUUCUGCUCAGUAAUGCAGUUGCAGGUGGGAAGAAGGGAAAAUUCUCCCAUGAAAUACAAUAUUCCCCUUAUUUUCUCACAGAAAAUGUGAACAUGCUGUAACAAAAUUCUGAUGAUGUGUUUCAGUGGUACACCUCAACCAAAGAAUGAGGUUCUUUGCUGCGGACAAUAUUCUGAUGCAAUUUAAUAAACCACAGGUCUAGAAAUAUUUUUUAGUGCUUGCACACGUGAAGUAGUUAUUUUAUUACCUCUAAUUGCUGGCCAACUUCCCAUAUAAGAGAAAAUAUGCUUCUGUGGCCCAACUCCAUGACUCUCUGUGAAGUCAAACUCUCAGUAAAACUGAGGAAUGUAAAGUGCUUUUUAAUUUUUUUUUCCUAAUAAUGAAACCUCAUAUUUGAGUACUAUGUCAUGGCAACAGAAUAAAGCAUUAAAAGCCAAAAUAUCUUGUUUAGUCUAAAUCUCAAAGAGAUGCUGCUCCUUUUUUCCUAUAAAUUAUCCCUAAUACCACCAGUCUCCUGACAGACCUGAAGAAAUUUGCCUGUUCCACUGUUCAGACAGUUUCAGUCUUUUUAAACAGAUUUGCAGCCACUGAUCAUCAGUGUGAAACACUGACUGGAAAAAACAACUUUUACAGAGCACCCCAAGAUUUAUGGAGACAUUUUAAAUAACACAGAAGUAAUCCAGUCUUAUGGAAUGGCUCUCACCUGUGCAUAGUAAUGUAAAGAACCAAGCACUUCAUAGUACAAGUAAAAUAGAGUACUAGUCUUGUAGAACAAGCAAAGCAGGAUUUCUCUCAGUGUUCUCUGAACUCUUGGGAGAUGGAGGCAUUUCUCUCUCUGAGUAGUGCCUGCUACUGCACAGCUGAAAUUGGGAAUUACACAUCUAGAUGGUAUUAUAAUUCUAAAUAAUGAAUACUUUUUCUCAUGGAGGAAACAAUGGAAUUCAGUGGAAUUAGUCAAAAUGCAUUUGUUCUACUGCCAGCAAGAUGGGUUCCUGACCUGGGCUGGUGCUGUGCCUCAGGGCCUACUGACAAACUGAAGUGUGCUACAGCCUCUGAAUAAGUGUGCUGUAAUUUGAUGCUGCCAGAAAGCACUAAAAUGUAAAGAAUAGUGAUCAAAACUGCUCCCCAUUUCAGUAUUUUGAACCCUCCUGAUUCGUUUUGGCUUUACCCAUUUAUCCUCUAUCAUACACUAGAUCCUGUUUUCAUGCAUCUUUUCAGUGCUGCAUUUAAAGCAAGCCCAGUGCAAGCUCAGACUAAAACAGUGGCACUGGUUCUAAUCCAAAUCCUUCAUCUGAUGUGGACAUUUAUUUGAGAAUAAAAUUAUUCUAGUUCAGAUGUAACUAGGUACAAAUGGAAAUUAGCUAUUUUGAUAGACAUCCUUUCCUCCUGGAAAAUGAAUAAAACCUCAUUCAUACAGGAGUUUGAUGUUUAAAGGUGCAACAGCACAAAUUUGUUAUUGGCCUAGAUCAGCAGCACAGAAGUUGCCUCAAACUGGCAAAGGAUGAUAAAUUUUUGUAGGCUGCAGAGCAGCAGAUCUGUGUUCAAGGCGGGGAACAUGUCCCAUUUACAGGCUCUGGUGUAGCCUUCCAUGGUGUGGAGUUGUGCAGGUUGCUGGGGGCAUUUGGCCUGUUUUAACCCUUGUUUCAUCCACUACAGAUUAUAUCACCCUUGAAUUUUGCCACCUAACAUUUUGGCUCUAGAUCCUGGAGUUCAGCCCUGAAGCAGGCUUUUUUUAAAACAUAUUGAUACAUGUUUAUAUUGUCUAAGACAUUGCAUGAGAUGAACUCUAAAGGAAUAUAAAGUGGGUUUUAUAUCCCCUUUAUUGUCUGUUUAUAGGCUUUUAAAUACUUCAGGAUUUAAUUAUGUGCUCCUUGAUAUGCACAUACCCACAUAGGCCAUCUAAAAGCUGAAUAAAUUCAUGUCUGUUAAUAUAAUGAACAAAGGAAGUGCUCCUCUGUUAUCGUUGUGUUUUAUCUGCCACGUAAAGCAGGUCCAAACAGUAACAUCACUGAUGGGGUUACACUAAACAAGAAAAGGAAGCUGUAUUUCUAACAUGUUAAUUUAGAAUACAUUUUUGACAGGGCUGCUGCAGGUUCAGAAUUGCUGCUGUGGGGUCAUUGUAAGCCAUGCCACCUCAGGUCAUUUGAGAGCCUUUUCUCAUGGGAUGUCAAAGAUAUUCCCUGAAUGUGCUCCUUCUCUGACUCCUUGGCCUUGAAAACCAAGAUGCAGUUAGCAAGGUCUCUGCAGGAGAAAACAAGAGCUGAUCAGUCCUGCCUGUCACCCAGAGCACUGCCACAAUCCCAGCAGCAUGCAAUGCUUUGGCUUUGAAUGUCUGUGGAGGAAUCUGUUGUAUUUUCUAGUAUGUGUUUGCCUUAUGAGAGCAGUCAGUGCCCCUUUAUGUUAAUUAUUAAAUAAGAUUGUUAAGUUGUAUUGGAAAAUGUGACUCAUUCUUUCAAAACCUGUUGCCUUUAAGUAGAAGCGGUAUUUAUCCUCCAAAAGCUUCCUGAAGUGCUAGUGGCAGCAGCAGAAUUUUAAUGUACCCUCUCUCAUUCAUCAUUUGAAGUCUACAACAACAAGCAAUGAAUCUUUGAUGAACCUUGUCAUGCUUCCUUUGGAUUGUAAUAGCAGUUUUAUAAGCUUCAAAGAAGUUCAGAAGUAAUUUGCUAUGACUGUAUCUACUUUUUUUUUUAAUCUAUGAGCACUCAGCCCAGCACUGAUACAUCACCAGAUUAGAAAGUCUUGUCCCUGUGGUUCUGGUGUAAAUGAAAACCUAUGUAACAUAUAUUACAAGUAUAUUUUCCAGAGAAAUCCCAAUAAAAGCUGCCAGACCACAGAGAUCCCUCUAAAUAUAUAUAUAUAAUACAUCUACUGAUAGUAUCUAGAGACAAUCUGGAGCACUGGGAGCAAUUAUGAAUUGAUGAUGAUUCUUUUCAUUGGAUUGUAGGGCUCUGUUUUCUCUCUGCAGCAUGUUUCAACACCCAUGAAACACACUUCUAUCUCCAGCAGAUAAGAGUGCAGAUUUUAUCAAGAGAUAAAGAGUGUGUUCUCAAAUGAGGACAUUACUUUUGUCAUUUCUUGUUUUGUCAUCCUGGUUUUGUGCCUUGCUGUGCUAGAGGCUAGAGUCGGAACUACUGAGCACUGAAAGACCUGGAAAUUUGUUUACUGUUGAGACAACCUUUGCAGUCACCAGUAUUGCUGGCUACAAAAAUAACUUGUCCUUUUAAAAGAAGUUUGCUCUGAGACUUUAUGACUUGCAGAAACUCUGGAUAUAGUUUCUCUCCAGAAUUAAGGCACAUCAGCAUGGCUGUUUCAAACCUUUCCAAAAGACAAAACAACCGAUCCACAGAAGAUUCCUGGCGCUCUGCAAAGCCCAAACGGAGCAGAGCUGCUUUGCCACGUCCUUGCCAAUGACUGAGGGCAAUGUGCUCUUUGUUGGACUCCAUCCUGCCUUGCUGAUUCUGGCUGCUGGAAUGGUUCCCAAUGGGGAACUGCUGGCCAGGCUGAGAUCAGCUCUGCCAGUUCGAGCUGUGUUUCUACAGUGGUUCACUUCAGCAGUAUAUCAAAGGGAUAGAGCAAUAUUGGAGAGGUGCAGAAAAAUAUACAUGUUGUUUAGUGGGUUUCUGCUGGUUGGUGUGAGGCUACAGACUCCUUAAAUCCUCUCAGGGCAGGCAGAUAUUUCUCAGUUCUACCCAAAUACGAAUGUUUCAGUUUCAGUCACUGAUAACUUAAGACUUUAUGUGCAGAGGUGAAUAUAUCGGGGAAACUUCUUCAUCAGUAGUGGGUGAAAGAGGUGACUAAAUGAUACCAAAUGAUACUGGGAGUGUUAUGUUCUCUUCUAAGCCUGACUUUGAGUCUGCAGUUUCUCCAGAAUGUUCAGAAAACUCUCACAGGUCGGUCUUUGUAAUCUGGCUAUGAGAUUGGCAAGACAGAAGAUCCUGAUGUAUCACCUUUACAAUAUUCAUUAUCAAAUUCUGUGAUGAAUAGCAUCUUUUGUUAGUGAGCAAUACCAGAAUUCUGUGUGCUUCUACACCUAUUUUUUAUGCCUCAUCUCUCUUUCUGUGAUGCCAUAGCUGCUUAUAUUUUUAGCUGGGGUGAUAUGAGCAACAUUUUCGUAUUCUCUGUUAUUCAUUGUUCUACUUCACAUGCAACUGUGUGUGGUUUUCUUUUUUUAAUGUUUGAAUUGCAGCUGUCAUACAGGAGUCUUCCCUGAGCUCUCCAACUCUGACAGCCAGUUGGGCAGAUACCCAGCUGGGCAGAUUGAACUGAGAUUGGUCCAGUUGGACCAAUUCCUUACUUGGAUUUGGAAUCCAAAACAGCUACUUUUAAAACUGAAAUACCUCGCAAUUUCUGCUCUGGCCUCUGAUUCUGCAGAAGCAGACAAGUACACCCCCAAAUGGAAAUGUUGCUCAUCCCAAUUCCUCAAGCCAGGAGAUGCAGAUUUGGGAGUGGGAAAGGGAGAGGAGGAACACAGAAGUGGAUGAAGAAAAUUAACCUUGAAGGGAAGCAGGACAGCAUGACAAAAGCAAAACAUCUGUUCUUCUCAAACAGCCAGUUCUGUUCCUCCAAUCUGAGGAGGCUGCUUUGUUUUAAUAAUCAAUGUUAUGGGUAGGUGGUCAUUUUAACAGGCCCACCAAACCUUUUUUGGGGUAGAAUUUUUGUGUCAUUGCUGCAAAUGUGAGAAGCAGAUGAGCUAUUGUACGCUGACACAAGCUCAGUGUGUGAUGAUGGCCAACUGGCCUAAAAUUUCUACACUGCUGUUAUUUCAUCCCUGCCAUGGAGAUUAAAAUAAAGUGUCUCGACACCA